AGGAAGCCGGUGCGAGUCCGGCGCGGUCCCGCCACUGUCACCGGGGAGCGGACCCCACCGACGGCCACGGGCGCGAGCCCGGAAGGCCGGGGCGAGCGCCGAUCCGGGAGCCAGGACACU
rnacentral:ncRNA from 2 species